rnacentral:rRNA from 1 species
UGAGGAAUAUUGGUCAAUGGACGGAAGUCUGAACCAGCCAAGUAGCGUGCAGGAUGACGGCCCUAUGGGUUGUAAACUGCUUUUGUAUGGGGAUAAAGUUAGGGACGUGUCCCUAUUUGCAGGUACCAUACGAAUAAGGACCGGCUAAUUCCGUGCCAGCAGCCGCGGUAAUACGGAAGGUCCAGGCGUUAUCCGGAUUUAUUGGGUUUAAAGGGAGCGUAUGCUGGAGAUUAAGUGUGUUGUGAAAUGUAUACGCUCAACGUCUGAAUUGCAGCGCAUACUGGUUUCCUUGAGUACGCACAACGUUGGCGGAAUUCGUCGUGUAGCGGUAAAAUGCUUACAUAUGACGAACAACUCCGAUUGCGAAAGCAGCUGACGGGAGCGCAACUGACGCUUAAGCUCGAAGGUGCGGGUGUCAAACAGGAUUAGAUACCCUGGUAGUCCGCACAGUAAACGAUGGAUGCCCGCUGUUGGUACCUGGUAUCAGCGGCUAAGCGAAAGCAUUAAGCAUCCCACCUGGNGAGUACGCCGGCAACGGUG